rnacentral:rRNA from 1 species
AGUGAACGCUGGCGGUAGGCCUAACACAUGCAAGUCGAACGGCAGCACAGUAAGAUCUUGCUCUUACGGGUGGCGAGUGGCGGACGGGUGAGGAAUACAUCGGAAUCUACUUUUUCGUGGGGGAUAACGUAGGGAAACUUACGCUAAUACCGCAUACUACCUACGGGUGAAAUCAGGGGAUCUUCGGACCUUGCGCGAUUGAAUGAGCCGAUGUCGGAUUAGCUAGUUGGCAGGGUAAAGGCCCACCAAGGCGACGAUCCGUAGCUGGCCUGAGAGGAUGAUCAGCCACACUGGAACUGAGACACGGUCCAGACUCCUACGGGAGGCAGCAGUGGGGAAUAUUCGACAAUGGGCGCAAGCCUGAUCCAGCCAUACCGCGUGAGUGAAGAAGGCCUUCGGGUUGUAAAGCCCUUUUGUUGGGAAAGAAAAGCAGUAGGUUAAUACGCCGAUGUUCUGACGGUACCCAAAGAAUAAGCACCGGCUAACUUCGUG